CCUACGGGAGGCAGCAGUGAGGAAUAUUGGUCAAUGGGCGCGAGCCUGAACCAGCCAAGUAGCGUGAGGGAAGACUGCCCUAUGGGUUGUAAACCUCUUUUAUAAGGGGAUAAAGGUCGCCACGUGUGGCUUUUUGCAUGUACCUCAUGAAUAAGGAUCGGCUAACUCCGUGCCAGCAGCCGCGGUAAUACGGAGGAUCCGAGCGUUAUCCGGAUUUAUUGGGUUUAAAGGGAGCGUAGGUGGGUAGUUAAGCCAGUUGUGAAAAUUUGGGGCUCAACCGUUAUAGUGCAGUGGAAACUGGCGGCCUUGAGUGCAGUGGAGGCAGGCGGAAUUCGUGGUGUAGCGGUGAAAUGCUUAGAUAUCACGAAGAACUCCGAUUGCGAAGGCAGCCUACCGAAGUGCCACUGACGCUGAUGCUCGAAAGUGUGGGUAUCGAACAGGAUUAGAUACCCGGGUAGUC
rnacentral:rRNA from 1 species